rnacentral:misc_RNA from 1 species
CAGGGGAGUACGGAAGUUCACAGUGUGGACUGGUGGAGCUUUACGUCGUCGUUUGACUCAAAUUCACCACCUGGGUCGGUUCCGCCGCCGCCAACGACGACGCUGAUGAACCCAACGGCGAAUGUCGUUCGUUCACCGCCGCCGUCGCAACCGCCAUCGGAUUCAGAUUCCGUCACGCAAAAGAACUCCAAGUCGACGUCCUGCCACAAUGGGCUCUGUAAGCAAGGCGCUGGUGCAGUGGUCGGAGUUGUGACCGCGGGGGCUUUUGUUCUAGCAUUAUUUGCCGGCGGUUUAAUUUGGGUAUAUUCCAAAAAGAUCAAGCGGGUUAAAAAAUCGG